rnacentral:rRNA from 1 species
AUUGAACGCUGGCGGCAUGCUUUACACAUGCAAGUCGAACGGUAACAGGGUGCUUGCACCGCUGACGAGUGGCGAACGGGUGAGUAAUGCGUCGGAACGUGCCGAGUAGUGGGGGAUAACGCAGCGAAAGUUGUGCUAAUACCGCAUACGUACUGAGGUAGAAAGUGGGGGACCUUCGGGCCUCGAGCUAUUCGAGCGGCCGACGUCUGAUUAGCUAGUAGGGGAGGUAAAGGCGCACCUAGGCGACGAUCAGUAGCGGGUCUGAGAGGAUGAUCCGCCACACUGGGACGGAGACACGGCCCAGACUCCUACGGGAGGCAGCAGUGGGGAAUUUUGGACAAUGGGCGAAAGCCUGAUCCAGCCAUGCCGCGUGUCUGAAGAAGGCCUUCGGGUUGUAAAGGACUUUUGUCGGGGAGGAAAUCCCCAGCGUUAAUACCGCUGGGGGAUGACAGUACCUGAAGAAUAAGCACCGGCCAACUACGUGCCAGCCGCCGCGGUAACAC